rnacentral:rRNA from 1 species
UAGGGAAUAUUGGGCAAUGGACGGAAGUCUGACCCAGCCAUGCCGCGUGCAGGAAGAAGGUCCUCUGGAUUGUAAACUGCUUUAGACGGGGAAGAAUAAGGAUCAUGCGUGAUCUGAUGACGGUACCCGUAGAAUAAGCACCGGCUAACUACGUGCCAGCAGCCGCGGUAAUACGUAGGGUGCGAGCGUUGUCCGGAUUUAUUGGGUUUAAAGGGUGCGUAGGCGGGAGAGUAAGUUCGCUUUUAAAGCCGGCCGCUUAACGGUCAGGUAGGGGGCGGAUACUGCUUUUCUUGAGAGGGCUCGGGGCUGGCGGAAUUUGUGGUGUAGCGGUGAAAUGCAUAGAUACCACAAGGAACACCGAUCGCGUAGGCAGCCAGCCAGGGGCCUUUCUGACGCUGAGGCACGAAAGUGCGGGGAGCAAACAGGAUUAGAUACCCUGGUAGUCCGCACUGUAAACGAUGCAUACUCGGUGUCGGCUCGUUAGAGCCGGUGCCUGAGGGAAACCGAU